GUAGUGAGGGCUGUCAUAAUGAGCUGUAAGUGCAGGAAUGAUCUUGUUGGGGAGGGCUGAGUUCCUAUGAGCACCUCACAAGACAGACGCUGUGGAGCAUCAAAUGUGAGGGAAACAUGCCGAAUUAAUACAGGGGGAAUCCCACAGGCUUGGAAAUUCCGAAGACAGGCAAAAUGAGCUUGUGGGAAGUGUUCUUGACUCCUUUCCCAAGAGAGGUCCUUUUCACUUUGGGCUUGACUUGAAGACGCAGUUAUGUUACUUUGUUUUGUGUUUGGGAGGGUUAGACCUAAUAUUCUUUGGACCCUCCUGGAAUUCCCAUCCCGAGUUAUCCUGGCUUUCCCUCCAAUAUUCUCCCUCCCUGAGUCCCUGCUGUAACUUUUAAUUCCCUUCUCUCUUUCUCUUCUGUGUACGGGUUUCCUUUCUACUAGUUAGAGCUAGUAACUUAAUUUUACCCUAAUAACAGCUUGUAUAAUAAUAGUAUGCCUUUCAGAUUAUACAUUUGUUUAAAAUACAGUGACAUUCAGUGCUCCAGCCAAAAGGAGAUUAACGGCAAGUUAAUUUCCCAAACUGUUGCAGGCUGGUGCUGGGGACCUCGCUGUCACUGGGGACCUCAUCAUCAUGGCGGGUGGUGCCUGGUGAUCGUGGUGGGGGAGGCAGCCCUGUGUUUCAGUACCUGCAAGGUUCCCUUUUGUGUUGGGGUGAGCGCUUGGCAAGGGGGGGUUGGAAUUCCUUUGAGUUCAGCAGGAACCCGGACAGAAAAUUUGGGUUGUUCAAGUGAUUUGACGGUGUUUUUAUCCCAAGACCAGAAAAAUUUGCUGACAUUUGGAUUCAAUCUCAUUUAGCUGGGGGUCUUUUGGAGGUAGUGACUGAAAAUUAUUACCCAGUCCAUUGAUGGUGACUCUUUCAGGCCACACCAGACUGAAGCAAGAAG